UCUCUGGUGGCUCAGAUGGUAAAGCAUCUGCCUACAAUGUGGAAGACCCAGGUUUGAUCCCUGGUUUGGGAA
rnacentral:tRNA from 1 species